rnacentral:rRNA from 1 species
CCUUGGAAAAGGGCAUCAUAGAGGGUGAUAAUCCCGUACAUGGCUUGGAGCGCCCGAAGCUUUGUGAUACGCUUUCUAAGAGUCGAGUUGUUUGGGAAUGCAGCUCAAAAUGGGUGGUAAAUGCCAUCUAAGGCUAAAUAUUGGGGAGAGACCGAUAGCGAACAAGUACAGUGAUGGAAAGAUGAAAAGAACUUUGAAAAGAGAGUUAAACAGUACGUGAAAUUGCCAAAAGGGAAGGGUAGGAGGUCAGAGAUGCGGCCUGGGAUUCAGCCUUGCUUUUGCUUGGUGUUUUUCCC